ensembl:snRNA U6 U6 spliceosomal RNA
GUGUUCGCUUUGGCGGCACAUAUACUAAAAUUAGAACAAUACAGAGAUUAGCAUGGCCCUUGUGCAAGGAUGACAUGCAAAUUCAUGAAAAAAAAAGUGAUGUC